UAAUUAUGAUUAAAAUGACGAGUUUAUCAUUAGUGACCGCUUAAAAAUUCGAUUUUAGUUUAAACUCUAAUUGAUAUUACGAAUCUUAUCAAUGCAUGGCUCCCAUGAUCCGCUUGAAAAAAUGACGAAAUGUUUUCCUUUACGAAUACACAUCUUGGUAUAUUUUUCGUACAUUUUGAAUUGAAUCCGGGUGGCUGGCUCACUUUCAUUCAAAGAGUAUCGCAGGGUGACAGGCGCCGCGGCGCCGGGAGUGUCGCGUCGACGUGGCGCCUCCGCCCUCGGUCUGGAGUGACCCCUACCAUGGGACGGCGACUCGACAAAAACACUAUCAUAACUCGAAAAAGAUUCAAUAGAAACACGGGCUGUAUUAGAAUUGCACCCGAAACCACAACGCCUAUAACGUUACUACGCUAAUAUACCUACUGUUUAGAGCGUGGACUGUAUUUUUGUGUACUAGCUUCAAUAAAAACUAGAUUCAGA